GACGGAGGGUGCUAGCGUUGUUCGGAAUCACUGGGCGUAAAGGGCGCGUAGGCGGCGGUUCAAGUCGGAUGUGAAAGCCCGGGGCUCAACCCCGGAGGUGCAUCCGAGACUGAUCUGCUGGAGGCCGGAAGAGGAGGGUGGAAUACCCAGUGUAGAGGUGAAAUUCGUAGAUAUUGGGUGGAACACCGGUGGCGAAAGCGGCUCUCUGGUCCGGACCUGACGCUGAGGCGCGAAAGCGUGGGGAGCAAACAGGAUUAGAUACCCUGGUAGUCCACGCCCUAAACGAUGUGGGCUAGACGUCGGGGGGCUUGCCCUUCGGUGUCGCAGCUAACGCAUUAAGCCCACCGCCUGGGGAGUACGGCCGCAAGGUUAAA
rnacentral:rRNA from 1 species